AGAGUUUGAUCCUGGCUCAGGAUGAACGCUGGCGGCGUGCCUAACACAUGCAAGUCGAACGGGUGUACGGGAUGGAAGGCUCCGGCCGGAAGCCCCGUGCAUGAGUGGCGGACGGGUGAGUAACGCGUGGGCAACCUGCCCUGUACAGGGGGACAACACUUAGAAAUAGGUGCUAAUACCGCAUAACGGGGGGAGCCGCAUGGCACCCCCCUGAAAACUCCGGUGGUACAGGAUGGGCCCGCGUCUGAUUAGCUGGUUGGCAGGGUAACGGCCUACCAAGGCGACGAUCAGUAGCCGGCCUGAGAGGGCGGACGGCCACACUGGGACUGAGACACGGCCCAGACUCCUACGGGAGACAGCAGUGGGGGAUAUUGCACAAUGGGGGGAACCCUGAUGCAGCGACGCCGCGUGGGUGAAGGAGCGUUUCGGCGCGUAAAGCCCUAUCGGCAGGGAAGAAGGAGGACGGUACCUGACUAAGAAGCCCCGGCUAACUACGUGCCAGCAGCCGCGGUAAUACGUAGGGGGCAAGCGUUAUCCGGAUUUACUGGGUGUAAAGGGGGCGCAGACGGCAGCGCAAGCCAGGAGUGAAAGCCCGGGGCCCAACCCCGGGACUGCUCUUGGAACUGCGCGGCUGGAGUGCAGGAGGGGCAGGCGGAAUUCCUGGUGUAGCG
rnacentral:rRNA from 1 species